rnacentral:rRNA from 1 species
AUUGAACGCUGGCGGCAUGCUUUACACAUGCAAGUCGAACGGUAACAGGCCGCAAGGUGCUGACGAGUGGCGAACGGGUGAGUAAUGCAUCGGAACGUGCCCAGUCGUGGGGGAUAACGCAGCGAAAGCUGCGCUAAUACCGCAUACGAUCUAUGGAUGAAAGCGGGGGACCGUAAGGCCUCGCGCGAUUGGAGCGGCCGAUGUCAGAUUAGGUAGUUGGUGGGGUAAAGGCUCACAAAGCCAACGAUCUGUAGCUGGUCUGAGAGGACGACCAGCCACACUGGGACUGAGACACGGCCCAGACUCCUCCGGGAGGCAGCAGUGGGGAAUUUUGGACAAUGGGCGCAAGCCUGAUCCAGCAAUGCCGCGUGCAGGAAGAAGGCCUUCGGGUUGUAAACUGCUUUUGUACGGAACGAAACGGUCCUGGUUAAUACCUGGGGCUAAUGACGGUACCGUAAGAAUAAGCACCGGCUAACUACGUGCCAGCAGCCGCCGUAAAAC